rnacentral:rRNA from 1 species
AUUAAAUGAGAGUUUGAUCCUGGCUCAGGACGAACGCUGGCGGCGUGCCUAAUACAUGCAAGUAGAACGCUGACUACUUUAGCUUGCUAGAGUAGAAGGAGUUG